GAUGCAUUCACGAGCCUAUCCUUGGCCGACAGGCCCGGGUAAUCUUUGAAACUGCAUCGUGAUGGGGAUAGAUUAUUGCAAUUAUUAAUCUUCAACGAGGAAUGCCUAGUAAGCGCGAGUCAUCAGCUCGCGUUGAUUACGUCCCUGCCCUUUGUACACACCGCGAAAUUACUUAUGCCCUUCUGGAGUAGGCAAGCUUGCUAGUUUGCCCUUCAGCUGCGCAGGUCGGGGGCUGGCUCCUUUUGGUGUCAGUUGACUCGACUGGGCGGGUCCAAUACCAGCCGGAUUCCUCACGCCUCUAGGCUGUGGGGUUCUGCCGGCUGUGAGGGGUGGCUGUUCAACUCACUCCAAGCAAUCAACUCUGAAGGCAGAUCUAUAGGCUGGCUUUGCUGGCUAUAGACUGAUCAAUAUCAGACAACUCUCAACAACGGAUAUCUUGGCUCCCGUAACGAUGAAGAACGCAGCGAAAUGCGAUACGUAGUGUGAAUUGCAGAAUUCCGUGAACCAUCGAAUCUUUGAACGCAAAUUGCGCUCGAGGCCUCGGCCAAGAGCAUGUCUGCCUCAGCGUCGGCUACUACCCUCAACCUACUUUCCUAUUUUGAUGGGGAUGUUUCUUGUCCUUAAAGGGGAAGUUUCCUAUUUUAUAGGAGAUUUUUCUCGUUUUGACAGGAAAUAUUUCCUGUUCUUUAUGGGGGAGGCCGGUUGGAUCUGGCCGUCCGGAUUGCCUUUCAGGCUGCCGGUUGGCUGAAAUACAUUCACGCUCUGGGGGUUGCUUUCCUUUCAAGGAGAGACGAGUUCCGAUUUGGUAGGUGACCUUUGCCGGUUGCAUGCCUUCGUUGCUCGUUAGGCUUCCCAGUAUGCGUUGUGCAGGACGCCUUUUGGCUUUCGACCUGAGGUCAGGCAAGAACACCCG
rnacentral:rRNA from 1 species